rnacentral:rRNA from 1 species
UACGUAGGGUGCAAGCGUUAAUCGGAAUUACUGGGCGUAAAGCGUGCGCAGGCGGUUUUGUAAGUCUGUCGUGAAAGCCCCGGGCUCAACCUGGGAAUUGCGAUGGAGACUGCAAGGCUUGAAUCUGGCAGAGGGGGGUAGAAUUCCACGUGUAGCAGUGAAAUGCGUAGAGAUGUGGAGGAACACCGAUGGCGAAGGCAACCCCCUGGGUCAAGAUUGACGCUCAUGCACGAAAGCGUGGGGAGCAAACAGG